UACGUAGGGUGCAAGCGUUAUCCGGAAUCACUGGGCGUAAAGCGUGCGUAGGUGGCGUGUUAAGUGUGAUGUUAAAACGUGGGGCUCAACCCUGUCGGUGCAUCACAUACUGGCAUGCUAGAGGACGGCAGAGGCAAGUGGAAUUUGUAGUGUAGCAGUGAAUGCGUAGAUAUUACAAGGAACACCAAUGGCGAAGGCAGCUUGCUGGGCCACUCCUGACACUGAGGUACGAAAGCGUGGGGAGCGAACAGG
rnacentral:rRNA from 1 species